UACCGAAGGUGAAAUUCUGAUUAAAGUAGACUUUCGGGUGAACUAGAGUUCGAUAAAAAAAAAAAAAAUACUGUUGUUUGUGUUGUUGUGGAACGGAAGUCUUUUUAGUUUUGCUGUUUGUUUGACAGAAAAUAAAUAAUAUAGAAAAUAAAGGUAUGAUAGAUAAAUUAUUAUUAUUAUUAUUAUUAUUUUUUCUUAAUUGGCUUAAGGUUAGGAUGGGUUGAAAGCAAUUAUGAUAUUUCGG
rnacentral:lncRNA from 1 species